UACGGGGGGGCAAGCGUUGUUCGGAAUUACUGGGCGUAAAGGGCUUGUAGGUGGCCAACUAAGUCAGACGUGAAAUCCCUCGGCUUAACCGGGGAACUGCGUCUGAUACUGGAUGGCUGGAGUGUGGGAGAGGGAUGCGGAAUUCCAGGUGUAGCGGUGAAAUGCGUAGAUAUCUGGAGGAACACCGGUGGCGAAGGCGGCAUCCUGGACCGGUAUUGACGCUGAGGCGCGAAAGCCAGGGAGCAAAGCGGG
rnacentral:rRNA from 1 species